rnacentral:lncRNA from 1 species
AACUUUCAAAUAACAUGUGCACUACACUACACUACACCGUGGAUUAUUUAUCUUGGAGCGCUGCGGGUUGGUCAGUGUAUGUCGUAGUCAUGUUUCACUAUCACCGCUACUCACUCACCCUCAUCGUUGUGUUAUCAUUGUUGGGGGGAGGGGGACGAGAACGAAGCAGGGUCAAUAGCUCAGAAUGACAGCUAUACCAGUUUAACUCCAGACAUCACGCCCGCUACAUCUCACCUCUCCAGUCACCACGCCACUACGCCACCACCGACCCCUCGAGUCUACGCAGCCCGGUGUCCGUCUGUGUCUUGUCGUCGGGCGUGACGUGCAGCAAAGGCGGUAACAGCAACGGGAAGUUUUAUCUACGUGAUGGAGGUUUUUCGUGCGGCGAGGUGACGUGCCGCUGCUGUGAGAUUAGCGGACCACCCCACCCCACUCUACAGCCACAGCACAGCCACAGCCACAGCACAGCGGAGAGGUUGGGGAUGGGGGAGAACGAGAACGAAGCAAGGUCAUUAGCUCAAUGGCAGCUAGAUCAGUAUAACUCCAGACAUCACGCCACCACCGACCCCUCGAGUGUACGAGUGAUUGGGAGGAAUGAAAGUGAGCGUGAAUGGAGGCAAGAGGAGGCAGAGUGGAAACUGAAUGCAGUGUGAUAAGAGACAGAAGGGAUGAAUAAGUGGAGUGUGUGACCGAGUUAGGGCACUAUGAAGACGUGUAAGGAAUGGUGGUGGUGGUGGAGAAACUAAGUUGAGACGAGUGAAAGGGUUUCAGCCAGUUUUAGGACGGACAGAGGAGGAAAUGGUGUUAGUGAGUUAGGGCUUAUUAUGGAUGAAAUGAAGACGUGAAGGGAAAGUGUGGUGUUGAAAAUGUGUAGAGACGAGUGAAAGGCAGUGAAGGUGUGUUUAGGGCAAUGUUGCGUUAGAUGUAGGGAUAAUUAGUAAACAAGGUAUUGCUGUUUUGUUAAUUUUGUCCAUUACAGGAGUUGACUAUCCGAAGGCCUGACUCGCAGCGGCAAUGAGCCUCGUGUACCUUGCAUUACCUACGCCACCGCCGCAAGAUGAGGGAAGAAGAGCUGUUUGGUAACCAUAUUAGGGCCCAUAUCACCCCCGAAGCUCAUCAUGGGUGUAACCACCUAGAACCUGGGUAUCAUGGUGACACGUAGGAGUUGGUGAUCCAAAAGCCGCCCCACAGCCGCUACUGCUACUCGGAGGGUUUCUGCCUUGCAUCGGGCCUUCACUGCCGGCCCGCUAACACGUGCCGCCGUCGCCGCUACUGACAGGGAUUUCGCCUCGCUGCGGCCUGGCAAACACCUUCUACGUCGCCGCUAUUGACACUGAGGGACUUCGCCUCGCAGCGGCCUGGCAAACACCUGCUACAUCACCACUACCGCUGCCGCCGCCGUCCAGUGAGAGAUUCAUCUCUGACAUCCUGCCAUUCAACGCCUGCUGCCACCACCACCACCUCCUUAUGGUUCUGUCACUGUACUGAAGCUGUUGUCAUGAUUGAAUAAUAAAUUGUGAAGAAAU